UCCCCUCUUACACAACCCUGUGCAGGCCUCACCCGCUGAAAUGUGCUGUGUUCUUUCUCUUUCUUGGUCAACCCUGGAAUCCUCAAACCUACCACAGAAGGUGUUCUGUUUGGGCCGCUCUGCUCUGACAGAAUACCAUAGACUGGCUGGCUUAUGAACAACAGACAUUUAUUUUUCACAGCUCUGGAUGCCAGGAGACUCGGCGUCCGGUGAGAGCUCAAUUCCUGCUUUAGUUCUCUCAGGCCCCCACAUGGAGGAACGGAGGUCUCUGGGGUCUCCUUUAUUAAGUCCUUAAUUCCCUCCCAAAGGCCCCACCUCCGAACACCGACACUCGGAGGUUGCGUUUAGCGUAUGGAUUUUAUGGACGCUCGGGGGAACCACCCCGAGCGGAGUGAACCCUGGACUUCGCGUCAGCAGAGGGACGCCCAGCUCCCCCCGCGUCCUGGCGCUGUGGCCUCAGGCCAGCCACUCACCCCUGCGGGCGUCACAUUCCCCAGCUGAGGGAGAGAACGUCUACCUCUCCGCGUUGGUUUGACCCGGACCCUGUCAGCGCGUGAGGAGGAGCCAGGAGAGGAGCUCGGCAGACCGUCAGCAAACCACAAGCGACCUUUCAGUGUCCUGGUAGAACUCCCAUGUUGUAUCUAUGGGGAAGCGACACGUGAGUAACGCCAAAAGAGCAGGAGAGGCUGAAAGCGGGGCGACGUUUGCAGCCUGGCCGCCUGGCGGUCCAUCCGCGUUGCUCUACUCCCAUCUGCUGAUAAGAGGCUGCUACUUCGCCAGGAGCUCCUUGCCCGCCCUCACCACGACCAAGGCAACCCAAGUCUGAGAACCCACUGCAGUCGCCACUGGAAGCAAUGUUUGUUACCUGCAGAAUGAACCCAGGGACUUCUCUAAAGCAAAUGAAGGCUUGGCCAGGAGAACAAGCGGGCUUCUCAGGUGGGUGAUGCGUCUCCACGUUGAAGCCCCAUGUUGUCGCAUGGAGGAUGCACAGAGAAGGUGACGUCAGCCUGUCUGUCAACCUGCCUACCCUCGGGAAGUUAGGUUGUAGUCACACUGGCCCAUGCAUAGAGACAAAAGUGAUCAACAACCUAGGAAAGCCAAGCCAGCAGAUGCACUUACCAACACACCUUUGCAUUCACAAAUAUGAGCCAAGAGUCAGUAGAUACUUGAAGGGGGGGAAAAAAGUAGCAUGAAUGAGAAAAACCAAUAUGAGGAAAUAUAACUUUCAACCUCAGGGCAAAGAAGUCAGGGAAUAGAAAAGAGCUGUUAGAAUCCCAGGGAAAAGUCCCAUUAUGAAAUCCAAAAACCAAAAGUAGGAACACUAAGUGAGUUUUUGGAAAUUAAAAAUAUCCUGAACUUUAAACAAGAAAAAAAAAA